rnacentral:rRNA from 1 species
GGGGUGCAGCAGGCGCGAAACCUCUGCAAUAGGCGAAAGCCUGACAGGGUUACUCUGAGUGAUUCCCGCUAAGGGGAUCUUUUGGCACCUCUAAAAAUGGUGCAGAGUAAGGGGUGGGCAAGCCUGGUGUCAGCCGCCGCGGUAAUACCAGCACCCCGAGUGGUCGGGACGAUUAUUGGGCCUAAGGCAUCCGUAGCCGGCCACGCAAGUCCUCCGUUAAAUCCACCCGCUCAACGGUUGGACUGCGGAGGAUACUACGUGGCUAGGAGGCGGGAGAGGCAAGCGGUACUCAAUGGGUAGGGGUAAAAUCCUUUGAUCCAUUGAAGACCACCAGUGGCGAAGGCGGCUUGCCAGAACGCGCUCGACGGUGAGGGAUGAAAGCUGGGGGAGCAAACCGGAUUAGAUACCCGGGUAGUCCCAGCUGUAAACGAUGCAGACUCGGUGAUGGGAUGGCCUCGAGCCAUCCCAGUGCCGCAGGGAAGCCGUUAAGUCUGCCGCCUGGGGAGUACGGUCGCAAGACUGAAACUUAAAGGAAUUGGCGGGGGAGCA